UACGGAGGGUGCAAGCGUUGUCCGGAUUUAUUGGGUUUAAAGGGUGCGUAGGCGGCCCGUUAAGUCAGUGGUGAAAGCCUCCAGCUCAACUGGAGAACUGCCAUUGAUACUGACGGGCUUGAGUACAGACGAGGUUGGCGGAAUUGAUUGUGUAGCGGUGAAAUGCAUAGAUACAAUCAAGAACUCCGAUUGCGUAGGCAGCUAAUUAGGCUGUAACUGACGCUGAGGCACGAAAGCGUGGGGAGCGAACAGG
rnacentral:rRNA from 1 species